GCGAAAGCAAUUCCAAUUGUGAUGCGCAUUUCACCUCACGAAAACUGAAGAGCAAACAAACAAAACUGAAGCGACAGUGAACUUGUAUUUCAUUUACGCUGCGCCAGCGAUCGAAUACACUUACACACGAGUUCUUAUGCGAGACGUUAAGUGGAUUACGGUAUCAACCAACUUCAAGAACAAUAAACUUGUAAAGAAUAGCGAGUGGUGUAAAUAAAAACAAAACAUCAUAAAUUUAUGAUUAGGAUAAGAAGAAAUUAAUCGAUAAAUUCAGUGAUAUAUGUAUAUUUUAGAAUCCGUUUGCAAAUAUUAUUUCUGUGAAAAUGGCACGGCGGCCGCCAAGUAUUCAGCCAUAUUUUAAAUAAUAUGCCUACGUAAACAAGCAUAAAAAAUACUGCCUGGAAU